CUGUUCUCUGACAUACGCUUGAUGACAGGCUUUGAUUGACGAGCAGGUAAAGGACUCAGAACUCUAAUAAGGGCGUGGUUGCCAGGGCGCUGCUCUUUGUGGCUCCAACCCAGGGUUCACCCGUGUGUGCACACAGUUCAAUUUAUUUCUCAGAGGAUUUUUUUUUUCUUUUACUCUAUUUAUUUUUGUCUUUCUUUCGUUUAACUGUAUUGUACCGUACAGCAGUCGUAACUCACUCGCUGACAAAUAAAUUUAUGGCUUUGGGAAUGUGAAGCUGUAGGUCUGAAAACAAAGGCAAACGGUUCCAGAAGCGUGUGCACGUUUUUCGUUACGCAUUUGUCACACAGAAGCCAAGAUAUGUCGUUAGGCAGAUGAAUAAAUUGUUGGAGGACUGAACCUGACAGACAGACAGACAGACAGACAGACAGACAGACAGACAGACAGACAGACAGACAGACAGACAGACGCGUGGAUGAAUGGACUGACAAACAAACUCAGGGAUGGGUGGACGGCUGGAUGGUCAGCCAAAGGAAACAAGAAAGGACUGGCGGUUCUCAGACGCAGCUUAGCGUGAAGAUGAAGCCGAAAGAGAAGAGCGACGAAGCCUGCACAUUAGCUCCUCGUCUCCUGGGACUCUUUGACGCGGGACCAUCACCAAGAUCCCACCGCCUGCCUGGUGUCGCAGCCCUCACCCACGGGCGUGAGGAGACCACCGCGGCACUUCCCCACGACCGAGCGAAGUGAUGGAGGGCGGUAAAGGCAGGGAGGGGCAGGCAGAGGUCCGUGCGGGCGUUUAUGGCAGGAAAUUGUCGACGCAUGCGUGGACCGACGACAAAGAAAAAGACGGAGCCAUGGACGGUCUCCGUGAGGAAGGACUAACAGCUGAUGGUGAGAGAUCACCCGGGAUGGACAUGGGCUGAGGGGCAAGCACCAUGGUGGUGACAGAUGCAGGUUAGUGGAUUGGACUGGACUGUGCUGGGUGUUAGCGUGGAAUGAAAAUAAAUUUUACACUUUGCAGCCAGAAAAUGUAAAGUGGGAAAAAAGAAGAAACUAAGGGAAGAGAUGGAGACAGAGGAGGAGAAACUAGAGUAGAUUGCUUUUAUGCAUAGAAGCUUCAUCAAGAAGGGCUGUAAUACUGACAGCAUGGCUCCUAUAAUGGCCAUAAGAUAAACAGCUUUGACAUCUUGGUAAUGUCGACAUCCCUUGGUCAUCGUCGGGUCGCUGUAAAUGUCGUUUGGUUU